UUUGAGUUUGAUCCUGGCUCAGGAUGAACGCUGGCGGCGCGCCUAACCCAUGCAAGUCGAACGAGGUAGCAAUACCGAGUGGCGGACGGGUGAGUAACAUAUAGGAACCUACCCCAGAGUCUGGAAUACCCGGCCGAAAGGUCGGCUAAUACCAGAUGGUCUCUACGGAGUAAAGAUUUAUCGCUCUGGGAAGAGCCUGUAUCCUAUCAGCUUGUUGGUAAGGUAAUGGCUUACCAAGGCUAUGACGGGUAGCUGGUCUGAGAGGAUGACCAGCCACAAUGGCACUGAGACAAGGGCCAUACACCUACGGGUGGCAGCAGGUGGGAAUAUUGCGCAAUGGACGAAAGUCUGACGCAGCGACGUCGCGUGAAGGAUUGAAGGUUUUCGGAUCGUAAACUUCUUUUCUAUGGGAAGAUUAUGACGGUACCAUAGGAAUAAGGACCGGCUAACUACGUGCCAGCAGCCGCGGUAAUACGUAGGGUCCAAGCGUUAUCCGGAUUUAUUGGGCGUAAAGAGCAUGUAGGCGGUUUUGUAAGUUAUCUGUUAAAGCUCUUGGCUUAACCAAGAAAUCGCAGAUAAUACUGCAAAACUGGAGAAUAGCAGGGGCAAGUGGAAUUCCCGGUGUAGGGAUUAAAUCCGUUGAUAUCGGGAGGAACACCAAUGGCGAAGGCAACUUGCUAGGCUAUUUCUGACGCUGAGAUGCGAAAGCGUGGGUAGCGAACGGGAUUAGAUACCCCGGUAGUCCACGCCCUAAACGAUGCAGACUAGGCAUCGGGAGUAUCGACCCUCCCUGUGCCGUAGCUAACGCGUUAAGUCUGCCGCCUGGGGAGUACGACCGCAAGGUUAAAACUCAAAGGAAUUGGCGGGGACUCGCACAAGCGGUGGAGCGUGUGGUUUAAUUCGACAGUAAGCGAAGAACCUUACCAGGGUUUGACAUCCCGCGAAAGCCUAGGAAACUAGGCCGUGCCGUAAGGAACGCGGUGACAGGUGCUGCACGGCUGUCGACAGCUCGUGCUGUGAAGUGUACGGUUAAGUCCGCAAACGAGCGAAACCCCUAUCUUGUGUUGAAUUUUUCACAAGAGACUGCCUCAUUUAAUGGGGAGGAAGGCGGGGACGACGUCUAGUCAGCGUGGCUCUUACACCCUGGGCGACACACGCGCUACAAUGCCAUGGACAAAGGGUUGCUAAACCGUGAGGUGGAGCCAAUCCCAUCAAAACAUGGCCCAGUUCGGAUUGAAGGCUGAAACUCGCCUUCAUGAAGUUGGAAUCGCUAGUAACCGUGGGUCAGCCAUACCACGGUGAAUACGUUCUCGAGUCUUGCACACACUGACCGUCAAGUCAGGAAAGCCGGGAAUACCCGAAUUCGCCUUUUGGUGAACACGGUAGGCUCGGUGAUCAGGGCUAAGUCGUAACAAGGUAACC
rnacentral:rRNA from 1 species